UACAGAGGGGGCUAGCGUUGUUCGGAAUUACUGGGCGUAAAGCGCACGUAGGCGGAUUUGUAAGUCAGGGGUGAAAUCCCGGGGCUCAACCUCGGAACUGCCUUUGAUACUGCAAAUCUCGAGUCCGGAAGAGGUGAGUGGAAUUCCUAGUGUAGAGGUGAAAUUCGUAGAUAUUAGGAAGAACACCAGUGGCGAAGGCGGCUCACUGGUCCGGUACUGACGCUGAGGUGCGAAAGCGUGGGGAGCAAACAGGG
rnacentral:rRNA from 1 species